rnacentral:rRNA from 1 species
AGAUUGAACGCUGGCGGCAUGCUUUACACAUGCAAGUCGAACGGCAACAGGCCGCAAGGUGCUGACGAGUGGCGAACGGGUGAGUAAUGCAUCGGAACGUGCCCAGUCGUGGGGGAUAACGCAGCGAAGCUGUGCUAAUACCGCAUACGAUCUAUGGAUAGAAAGGCGGGGGACCGAAGGCCUCGCGCGAUUGGAGCGGCCGAUGUCAGAUUAGCUAGGUUGGGUAGGGGUAAACGGCCCAACCGAAGGCGACGAUCUGAGCGUGGUCUGAGAGGACGACCAGCCACACGUGGAACCGGCACGGUCCA